rnacentral:rRNA from 1 species
AACGAACGCUGGCGGCAUGCCUAACACAUGCAAGUCGAACGAGACCUUCGGGUCUAGUGGCGCACGGGUGCGUAACGCGUGGGAACCUGCCCUUAGGUUCGGAAUAACUCCCCGAAAGGGGUGCUAAUACCGGAUAAUGUCUUCGGACCAAAGAUUUAUCGCCUUUGGAUGGGCCCGCGUUGGAUUAGCUAGUUGGUAGAGUAAAAGCCUACCAAGGCGACGAUCCAUAGCUGGUCUGAGAGGAUGAUCAGCCACACUGGGACUGAGACACGGCCCAGACUCCUACGGGAGGCAGCAGUGGGGAAUAUUGGACAAUGGGCGAAAGCCUGAUCCAGCAAUGCCGCGUGAGUGAUGAAGGCCUUAGGGUUGUAAAGCUCUUUUAACCGGGAUGAUAAUGACAGUACCGGGAGAAUAAGCUCCGGCUAACUCCGUG